ACAUUUCAUUUCGGGUGAAAUAUGGUUAUGAUUCUGGGGCCCAGAUCGUUUACCGUGAAAAAAUAGAGUGUUCAAAGCAGGCAGAUUUAACCAUUCUGCCACCGAAUACAUUAGCAUGGGAUAAGGAAUAGGACCCUGUCCUCCUAUUUACGUGUUGGUUUUUGAGACCAGGGUAAUGAUUAAUAGGGAUAGUUGGGGGCAUUAAUAUUUAAUUGUCAGAGGUGAAAUUCUUGGAUUUAUGAAAGAUUAACUUCUGCGAAAGCAUCUGCCAAGGAUGUUUUCAUUAAUCAGAACGAAAGUUAGGGGAUCGAAGACGAUCAGAUACCGUCGUAGUCUUAACCAUAAACGAUGCCGACCAGCGAUUAGGAGACGUUGAAUACAAAACACCACCAUUAACACGAUCGUUUUUUGCAAAUAUUGCCACAUACGCAAGUGUGUGGUUGUGUUUGAAGGAACGCGAUUUGUCUUAAUGGCCCGGUGAAUGACUCCCCUAGCAGCUUGUGAGAAAUCAUAAGUCUUUGGGUUCCGGGGGGAGUAUGGUCGCAAGGCUGAAACUUAAGGAAUUGACGGAAGGGCACCACCAGAGUGGAGCCUGCGGCUUAAUUGACUCAACACGGGGAAACUUACCAGUCCGGACAUGUAGGAUGAAAUGAUGCUCUUUCUGAUCUAGGGUGUGGCAGGCCGUUCUUA
rnacentral:rRNA from 1 species